UACAGAGGGUGCAAGCGUUAAUCGGAAUUACUGGGCGUAAAGCGUGCGCAGGCGGUUGUGCAAGACAGAUGUGAAAUCCCCGGGCUUAACCUGGGAACUGCAUUUGUGACUGCACAGCUGGAGUGCGGCAGAGGGGGAUGGAAUUCCUGGUGUAGCGGUGAAAUGCGCAGAUAUCAGGAAGAACACCAAUGGCGAAGGCAGCUCUCUGGGACGGUACUGACGCUGAGACGCGAAAGCGUGGGGAGCGAACAGG
rnacentral:rRNA from 1 species